UACAGAGGUCUCAAGCGUUGUUCGGAUUCAUUGGGCGUAAAGGGUGCGCAGGCGGCGGGGCAAGUCGGACGUGAAAUCCCGGGGCUUAACCCCGGAACUGCGUUCGAUACUGCCUUGCUCGAGGACUGGAGAGGAGACUGGAAUUCCGUGGUGUAGCAGUGAAAUGCGUAGAUAUCAGGAGGAACGCCAAUGGCGAAGGCAAGUCUCUGGACAGUUCCUGACGCUCAUGCACGAAGGCCAGGGGAGCAAACGGG
rnacentral:rRNA from 1 species